UCUCUCUUUUUAUUUCAAGAACUCUAGAAACCUUCAUGUCAUACACUUCUAGGGCUUCAAUCUAAGGAGAAAUCAAGUACCAAGAGCAAGAUUAAGUCUUAAGUUCAUCUUUUAGCCAAGUAUUGGAAUCUCUCAAGCCAUAAUAUAAACCUAGAAUUUGGUGAGUUUCCAUCAUUUGGUGAACAAGAGAAGGAUAUAAGGGAUACAAGUUGAUGUUUACUUGAAGUGCAAAGGAAUGCAAUGAGGUGUGAUAGCUUCGAAUGUUUUGAAGUGCAAUAUUUUGUGCAAGUUUGGGCUUCAUGGAGUCGUUUUGCAUAUAGAAUGGAAGUAGAAAGAAGACUUAUAUUUUGGGCAUGAUUUGUACUUACAUCUUUUAUGGACAAAGAUGUGUCUAUUUUUGCAAAGUGAUGUAUGUAAUUAAGGUAUACAUGUUAGAAAAAAAGGUUUUGGAUGUUCAUGU